AUUCUGUUUGUUCCAGGUAACAGUGCCCCCACCCUCACCGUCCUGCCCCCCUCUAGUGAGGAGCUGUCCAGUACAACAACAGCCACACUGACGUGUCUGGCCAACAAGGGCUUCCCCUCAGACUGGACCUUGAGCUGGAAAGUGGACGGGACCAGCCAGAAGCAGGAGGCCAGUUCUAGGGUCCUGGAGAAGGAUGGCCUGUACAGCUGGAGCAGCACCCUGACUCUCACUGGCCUGGAGUGGACCAAGGCAGGAGAGGUGACCUGUGAAGCCCAGCAGAAUUCCCAGACUCCAGUCACCAAGACCUUGAGGAGGGCUGACUGUUCUGGGUAGGACCCCUCAGUCACACACCCCUGUGGAGAGAGGCUGCUGGUUCCUCUGCUUUGACUCUGUUCUGAGAUCAGAUGUUCUGUCUUAUUGAUCACUGACAUG